GAACAGGGGUGCAUUUGCUGAGAAUUACCCUUAUCACCUGAUCUAGGUAAUACUAGCGUAGGGAGUUCC
rnacentral:ncRNA from 1 species